UGGAAUAGUCUUUUAUUUCGCAAGUUGGAACAAAUAUCGCAUAGGAAUCUAAUUGUAAUUAAAAUCUAACUAACUUUGUGAUAAAAAUAAAAACAAACAAACAUACAGAUAAACGCAAAUAAAUCAACUCACAGAUAAUCGCUAAAUCCCAAAAUUGUGAAAAAAGAAUAUCAACAUAUUAAUCCGGAAGCGUGCGAGGCACUGCCCUAAGGUGUAUUCCCGUCCUUACGUGCGGGAUUAACCGGAAAUAACACCCCAAGGUACGACCGGAAUUCCUCAUUCUGCGAGCACGAUCGUGAAGGAGGUUGACGAAGAUUCUCAACACCCAGUGGAUAAGGGGAAUGUUCAAAAAAUGAAAGAUAAAAGAAUAAAAGGAUAGAGAUUAACCAAUGAUCAAAAAUCUUUUCUACCUGCUCUGUUUUUUCCAGAGGAGGAAAAGAGAAAGGGGAUUUAACGCUUUUUCUCUUACGAGAGAGAAGCGGAACCCGCCCAACGUAAUGCGAAAAAAACGGAACGGAAAAUAUUCCGUUAGUUUCUUUCUCAUUAAGAAAGAUAAUAAAAUAAUUAAAUAAAAUAAAAUAAAUAAAGUAGUAAAUAAAUAAAAUAAUAAAUAAUAAAUAAUAAAUAAUAAAACAUCAAAGUGCAAAUAAAAUAAAUUCAAACUCAAAAUUUUGAGUUUUCACCAACAUAA
rnacentral:lncRNA from 1 species